GCAGCGUUUCAUUAAUUUUGGUCGGCUUAUGGGCUUCGUUUUUACGGGCCUUAUAUUCUAAAAAUUGGUCCAGCCCGAAUCCAGUAUGUCUAAGUUUAAACGUAUUAACUGUCGUUUUGCAAUUAGGGUUGAACCGUACUUCUCCGCCAUUGGAGAUCGAGGCUUAACCUGUGUUCCAAAAGCGAGCGUUUCAUCUUCUUCCUUAUCAAUCCGCAGUGAUACCGGUUACAGAUUACCCCUCUUCAACUCUUUCUUAAAUACAUACCCAUGAUCUCUCUUGAAUGCGACCUUAACUCGUGAAAGGCAGUGGAAUUUCGACUAUAAAAAGUAUGGCUAAUGCUCUUCCACCGUUCAAGUGCGGUUGCUCUGUUAUUGGGAGGCCAGGAACAUCUGACGCGGUGGCGAACUCAUGGGAGUCGAUAUGUUGUUGCUUGAUUCCCAGGUUGUAAAGAGAGAUGAAGAUGUGAAAGUGAUUGUAGCGGUGUUGACGAUUGGUUGCCUCCGUCACCAAAAGUUGUAUUCGAUGAAAGCAAAGAGUUAGGUGAAGAGUCUACCAUUAAAGCUGUGAGGUAGUUUUGCAUGUGUUGAGUAUUUUUCCAUCUAUGUGCUUACCAGCUUCAUAUUAGAAGCCACGGUUUGAACACUGCUAGCUUUAAUUUUUUAAUGCUCGAUGAUAUCAUCCAAAUAGUUUCUGUGUUAUACUUUGAUUCUUAAGUUUUGAAUUGAAAUAUCCAAUGUAUUAGAAGCUAUGAUUUUGUAUGUGUGUGCUUCUAAUGUUUCUAUUAGAAGCUACUAUUUUUUACUCCAAUGCUAUAUCUGUUCGUCGAUUUCACUCAUAAAGCGAUUAUUUAGGACACAGCUAACCGUUAUUUUUUAAUUCGUCCUUGAUGACAUCACCCAAAAGUCUCUAUUAUUACACUUUGACCUUAAGUUCGGAAUUGAAAUGUUCACUGUAUGUGGAAGAAGAUGAGCUCAUGUCAUUCACAAAAAUUAUAGUAGAUGCGAUGCAGGAAGCCAAGGUUUCUGCUAGCAACGAAGCUGAAAUAUCUCAAACAUUCUCAGAGGCAGCUGCUGCUCAGGUGGAUCUCAGAUCAUUAGAACUUUGACCACACACAAGCUUUUAGCCGUUCUAAAAAUAAUCAUCUCGGACUAAUUAACUCUUUCUUCUUAUCAUCUUUGGUUGAUGAUCUCUUCUUUCUCUUAGAUGAAUCGAAUGAUGCUGUUAUUAAAAUCAGAUCCGCACAGCUUUCACCAAAGGCGUUGAACCGCCCUAAACGCGACAACCAAAACACUGAUCGAAAACACAGUAGAGAAAGUUGGGGAUGCGUUUGGAGAUGCAGCAGAGUAGCUUACGGCUUCGGUCUCAAGUCCUCCUCCCUUCGUUGCACUCUUCACACUACAAAUUUACGCAAAGACAAUACAUCUAUUUUUUUUUUUGGGCAACGACAAUACAUCUAUUUAAAAUAACGUUUACAUAAUGUUCAAAAAAGUAACGUUUUUAUAUUAUAUAACUAGGGAAAGUGAUGACUUUCAAAACUAAAACAUGUAUAUUUGUUUUCUUACUUUUAUAUUUUGGUUACUUUGAUCUAUUAAGUUUACCAGGAAUAGAAUGAAGAACAAGAAAUACAAUUUAUUUUGCUUACUUUAAUCUAUUAAGUUUACCAGAAAUAGAUAAUUCAUUCUUUUCAGUGUUCAAAUAUUCUUGCAGCUUGGAAUCUACUGAAGUGGAUGAUCUAGAGAGGAGAUUGACUUAGCUAUGAUGAAUCUGAAAGAUGAACCUACUUAUUUGUAGGUAUCACUCAUCAUGCAUCAAAUGAAAGCAGCUCCGUUGAUUAUUUUGAAAGUUGUGUUCUGUUAAAUAGUGUAAGCAAAAUAUGUUUUAGAUUUUUUUUCUUGUUUCUAAGAAUGUUUUAGGUUCAUGCCUCAAAUGAAAGCAGCUCCGUCAUAUCAUUUAUGUAUGUUUUAUAAGUAUUGUAUUCUUCCUAAUGAUAGACAAAGUAUUCAGAUUUUUAUCUGGAUUUUAAGGCAUUCCUAUCGUCUAAAUCACCGUUGUUAGUUAGAAACUUAGAAUUCUGCAAGCUAAGGACUUAGCAAACAUAUUAGUGGUAUUUACCAUUUUAUCAUCUUCUUUAAAGCUUGAUUUUUCUAUAUUAUGUAAUGCAGUGGCAAAAUCAGGUAUCUUCUGCAAAAUCAGGUGAUCACUAUAAACUUGACCUUCUCUUGUGGUGGGUAAACUUGCAUUUAUUGUAAUUAAUCAUAGUUCCACCAAAAAAAUAAAAGAAAUCAAAAAUAAUAUAAUCACUAAUUAUCCCUUGAAAACUAAACAAUAAUAUUUGUUUUAAAAAGUCCUAACUAUUUUGGAUGAUAUGGUUUAUUUGAUAAUUAUAAAAUAUGUAAAUCUCUAACCGUAAAAAUAAUAGGUAAAUUUUACUUUUUACAUAAUUUGAAAUAAUAUUGGAUUUCAAAGAGAAUGUAAAAAAAAAAGUACUAACAAUAUAUAAAAGAGAAGAAAACGUAUAUGUGAAUCUCAACCACAAUUUUGAAUAAUGCUAGUAUAUAAAAUAAUUAUAAAAUAAAAAUGAAAUUUCUUUAUUAGCUAGAUAAACAUAUGAUUUCCAAUAAAAUAACAAAACUAAAUAACAAAUAUAUUUAAAAUUAUUUUCAAGUUGAGAAUAAAUUAAAUAUUGUUUUUUCUUACUUUAGUCUUAUAUAUAAUGAGACACUUUUGCCUCUCCUGGAGCUAUCCAGGUAUGCAUUUCAUAAAGAAUGUAGGGUCCACUUAAUAUCCGGUUAACUUCGAAUUGGUUUAGCGUUAGGUUUAAUAAAUCAAUAAAACUUUGCGUUUUGUGCUAGGGAUUCAUUGUUAUCUUCCUUGCAAAACACAAUUUGGCCGUCUCCGCUUUUCAAAAUCUGUCUCCUCUCAUCUCUUCACCUCCCCUGUCGUUAUCUCUUCCCCCCCCCCCCCCCCAUAUGGUUCAAUGUAUUUCUUUCUGUUCGGCCAUGAUUGUUAUUCCCAUUAAUUCGAGUAUGUAUGUCGAUGUUUCCGUUUCCUGCAUCUCGAAUCUUAUAUAUAAUGGGGUUGAGAGUAGGUUGGAUGUUCAGAACCAUUUUGAGUUUAUCAUUUUAUUGAGCGUAGAAAGAUUUUCGAAAAUGUCUUCCUCCGAUGCUGUCUUUUUGCAAUUAGCCUUCGACGCUCUCUGCCUCGGUUGAUCCGCCCAGUUCGGUGUCGCUCAUCCCAAAAUAUUUGGAGGUAACCUGUACCUCAACUCCACACCAGCAAAGGAGUUUUAUUUCGACCCCAGCCUUCAAGCCAUCUCAGAGUUCACAGCCAGCUUAUAAGGCCCAAUAGGUGAAGCUUUCCCUUGUAUCGAUACCAAAGAAGGGAUAAAAAAUGAAGGAAGUUGUCUCAAUAGGAGAUCCAAAAAAGUUCAUUUCCAAUUCUGACGAGCAUGUAAUAUUCCUCGAACCAAGAAAGUUGUAAAAAAAGAAAAAUAUGAUUUAGCACAGAAUUAUUAAAUAGUUAAUAUGCUGCCUUGGUAAAGACACAUGAAGCUGAUUUUAUCUGCAAAGCUUGGAUUGUUGAGGUCCUGCAACAAAAUGUUGGUCUUUCGUUUCUUGCACUGGCUGCAGCAGGAAGCUUGACAAAUCUGGUACUGUAUUGAAUUGUUAGUUGAUGAUGGGAAUGAUAAUGCCACUUUCGUAUUGUUUGACAGAGAGAUGCUUAGACUGACUAAGCAAGAUGCAGCUGGUCUAACUCUAGAUGAGAUGAAUGGUGGUCACGGCAACGAACUCCCACAAUGCCUACAAGAACUUGAUGGAAAAGAUUUUGUUUUCCAGAUUCGUGUGACACUAUUCAAUUUCACCCCAUGCUACUGCACUUUCACAGUUUCUGCAAUCGUUGACCACAUCAACCCCGAGACUUUCAACACCAAUGAAGAACAAUAUGUUCAAGUGUAAGGUGGUGGACCAUAUGCAUAUGCCAGCAACCAAGUUAGAGAUGAAGGGGAUGGACCAAAUCAAUCAUGUAUUGAUGGAAAAGAGAGUAGCCGUAAACGCCCCCGUGAGUGAAAUUAGCAAGCUGUGACACUGUCAACCCACCUCUGCUUUUGUUUCUAUACAUUUUCCUUUAGUGCUUUGCAAUUUCUAUUUCUCACUUUCCAAGCAUUUUUCUGUUUCCACGUUUUUGUUCUUUAAAGCACUUAUGGUUUUAAUAGUUUAAAAAGGGUUGGCAUAAUU